AACUCGCAAAACAAGGCACUAUUC
rnacentral:miRNA from 1 species